rnacentral:rRNA from 1 species
UACGAAGGGUGCAAGCGUUACUCGGAAUUACUGGGCGUAAAGCGUGCGUAGGCGGUUUGUUAAGUCUGAUGUGAAAGCCCUGGGCUCAACCUGGGAAUUGCAUUGGAUACUGGCAGGCUAGAGUGCGGUAGAGGAUGGCGGAAUUCCCGGUGUAGCAGUGAAAUGCGUAGAGAUCGGGAGGAACAUCUGUGGCGAAGGCGGCCAUCUGGACCGACACUGACGCUGAGGAGCGAAAGCCAGGGGAGCAAACGGG